GAGCCAGGCUGGAGCAGCUGGGCCUCAGCCUCCUGUUGGAGACGUUUUGACAGCUGUAUACAGUCCCGGGCCCCCUCCCACGGCCCGCGUCCCGGGAGAGUGAUCUUUUCACAGCGAGUCCCCAUGAAGCCUGUCGGAGCGGGACCACGUGCUCUGUUUGCACAGCAGCAUGUGGUACCCCAGGAGGAAAUCAAACCAGCGUUGAAAGUUCAAGGAACAGCCAAGCUCUGCUGGGAAGUGGCGGGGCCAGGGCUGGGAUGGAGCAAUGGAGCGGGUGGCCUGUGGACUCCCUCCCUGAGAGUCAGAAGGAGGGGGACUCCAGUCCAGAGCUGUUUGGGAGAAAGAGGACUGCUGGACUUUUUGGCAACGAAGGCACACAAGAGGACUUUCUGGGACCAGCCACCCUCUCUGACAGGCGUAGUGGGAUGGCAAUCUUCUGUUUGAAAGGUUUUUGAGUUGAUAUAGGUGUCUCCCAACCCAGAUUUCAUGACACUUGCAAAAAAAAAAAAAAAAAAAACCUGCCAUGUCCACGUGCCUUUCCCUCUACAGCUAGAAUGGGAGAGAGAGAAGGGAAACCAUUGACACAGCGUCUGCUCUGCCUCAAAGCUAGAUGGGACAACUCCCACCAUGCACAGAGUGACACUCAGGAAAAAGUCGCCAUUUUUCUUCCAGGAAAAUCUCUCCUCCCCGCCCCCCUCUCUCCUCCCUCCCCGUUGGUUAAACAAAUGCAAAAAUAAGCGAUGCAAAAUGUCUGCCAUAAAAAGGAGUUUUCUCCCUAAAUCCAAUUUCCCAAUUAUAUCCAUAGCUCAGCAUUUCAGCCAUCGCUGCGUUUUCUUUCCUAUCUAGACAUAUUCAUGAGAUUUAUCAAUACACAAAUCUUCAUAUUUCAUAGAACGUUAUCAGACAUCCAUUCACUUUAGUCACGUGUCUCCCAAAUGAAACUCCCAAAUAGACCUGGAUCCUGGUUCUUUUACAUAGCUGCUUGGUAUGUCGGCAUUUCUUGUAUGAAUGGUAUUGAAUCAUCAGAUGUUUGCCGUUUUUUGCUUACGAAGACAAUGCUAAACCUAAAGACUUGGAUUUGUGUUGCAGUCUGGGACAGGAUUAUUUAAGAAUGAAUUCCUAAAAUUAACACUUAAAAAACAGUGUUGGGUUAAAGAGAAGGCACAUUUUAAAUUUCAAUAGACUUGGCUAAAUCUCUAAACAAAAACAAAAACAAAAAAAAAAACUGACACCAAUUUGCAAUACAUUCAAGAAUGCUAGCUGUUUAUGUUAUGUGUAUGAUGGUGUACGAAUACCUGACUACUUCUGCACACAGACCACCAGAGUGUUUACGGAGCGACCAGGAGAAAAUCUGAUGAGGUACCUGUCCAUCUGUCUGUUUCAAUUUUGUUUAUUUGUUUGCUUUGAAACAGGUCUUGUACAGCCCAGGCUGGCCUGGAACUCAUUAUCCAUCCACAGCCUCCCAAGUGUUUGUGGUCCAGGUAUACGCCGCCCACACCCUAGAAAACCCAACGUCUUCAGUAACAACAUCUAAGUGUGUUUAAUGUUCACUUGUUUUUAUUCUGAAAUUUAUUAAACCAUUUUCCAUAGGUUUGUUCA